UACGUAGGUGGCAAGCGUUGUCCGGAUUUACUGGGCGUAAAGAGCGCGCAGGCGGUCGUUCAAGUCGCGUGUGAAAGCCCCCGGCUCAACUGGGGAGGGUCACGCGAUACUGAUCGACUCGAAGGCAGGAGAGGGAAGUGGAAUUCCCGGUGUAGUGGUGAAAUGCGUAGAUAUCGGGAGGAACACCAGUGGCGAAGGCGACUUCCUGGCCUGCACUGACGCUCAUGCACGAAAGCGUGGGGAGCAAACAGG
rnacentral:rRNA from 1 species